UACGUAGGGGGCUAGCGUUGUCCGGAAUCAUUGGGCGUAAAGAGCGUGUAGGCGGCCAGGUAGGUCUGGUGUGAAAACUCGAGGCUUAACCUCGAGAUGUCAUCGGAAACCAUCUGGCUAGAGUACGGGAGAGGAAAGUGGAAUUCCUGGUGUAGCGGUGAAAUGCGUAGAUAUCAGGAGGAACACCGGUGGUGUAGACGGCUUUCUGGACCGUAACUGACGCUGAGACACGAAAGCGUGGGUAGCAAACAGG
rnacentral:rRNA from 1 species